rnacentral:lncRNA from 1 species
GGGGGGGGGCCACGUCAGCAGCCGCGUCAGCAGCCACGUCAGCAGUCCCGGCCAACCAGGGCCUGCCACGUGGCAAGAUCGCGUCACUCCGAAAGGAGCCACGUUGGCGAUCCGCGUGGGUGCGAUCCGACGGCCCAGAUCAAUCACGCGAUCGGACGGCCCAGAUUCAAUCGCACGGACGGCCCAGAUUCAAUCAAAAACGAACGGCCCAGAUUAAAACAAAAUGAACGGCUGUGAUCAAAAGGCAAGGGGUUAUAAAUAGAACCCCCACACCAGACCACAAACCCUAGCCGCCAGCCGCUCGCCGGAGAAGACGAACCAGAGGCCGACCGCCGCCACCCGCCGCCGCUCGCCGCCGCACCGGGGAAAUUUCCGACCGCCGAUCGAGGUAAAUUUCAUACCCCCGACUCGUUUUUCCCCACUGAUCCCUCCUAUGGCCAAAUCGAAGCCGAAAUCCCGGCCAAACGGCCGGAAUACGCGGCCGAAGCCCAGCGGCGCCGCCGCGCCCCCUCUCGGUUUUUGCCUCCGACGAGGCCCUUCCCGGUCUCCGUUCGAUGCAAUUUUUAUAUCACCGUGAUCACCAUUCUUUUCUCUACAGGUUGACCGGAGCCGAAUCACCAAAACACGAACCUCGCCGGAGAGCCGCUGCACCCGAGAGCGCCGCCGCCGGUAAGCUCCGUUUUUCCGUGAUUUUUUGGCCCCCCGAGGGCCCUAAGGUUCUUUUCUGACAAGGACCAAUGCGAGUGUGGCCGAAUUCGGCCGAAAACGGCCGAAAACAGCCAACCCGAGGCGACUCGCCGCCGCCAGCGGCGGCGCCGUCGCCGGAGCACGGCGGAGCCGCCGUGCCGGAGUUGCGAUUUGGGCCGAAAGAGGCCCUGGGCCUAAUUUGGAUUUUUUUGGAACACGUGCAGGUACGGUUAGUGUGUUUCAGUUUCCCGGGGAAAAACUCAGGGAAAAUUAGGGACGGCCUGCAGGCGCACUGUGAAUCGUAUUCGGAUCCCGAAAACAAGUAAGGACCCCUCACCCUAUUUCCUAUCACGGUAUUAAAGUUCAAAAUGAUAAAA